GAUUACAUUGUUAGCUUGAAGGGAUUAGCAACCACACGUGUUUUUAGCGCUACCUUGGAAGAACAGCUCUUGCGUCAGUUAGUAUUUGGAACGUCUAGCCGAGAACUACGCCGGAAUCUGUUGGAUGCCGUUGGUGGUGAAUGACUGGAAUGGCAGAAAUGAUGUAAAUUACCAACAGCUUCGAGUUCACUAAUGCUGGUCUGGAAAGCAUACAGAAGGGACAAGGACGGAUCUAGUCGGUGCACACAAACACCGCGAGCUUCAGUGAAUUCGUCGGACGGAGCAUCGAGAAUGUGAGACGGAUCGACGACGAACUUUCUUGAAAGAAAAAUUGAGCCGUGAACAACAGCAAAAGAAUGAUGAUGCAAAAAAUGGACUGGCAUGAGGCUGUUCGCGGGUUAUAAACCAUCUACUCAAAGCACUACUGCCCCUGGGUGUGACUUUUUAGAUGUUUAUCCUUCAAAUGGUCAGCAGACGGGACCAGCCGCCAGUAUUCCUCCUGCCUACUGAUGUCCUCGCAGAAGGACGGCAGGUGGAACAGACACUGCAGGGUGGCGUUCAUGUAGCAGGUCUGCCCAAGGUUUGGUAGCCUGGAAGACAGAG